UUCCAUAUGAAAUCAUGUAAUAAUAUCUUUAUAAGAAGAUCAGAUUAUGAAUAAAAUAUUAAGUAGAAUUAUUUUAAACUAAAUUUAGAUCUGAAACUCUCUCUUUUUCAAAGAGUCUAAGGUUAGAGCUCCUUUUAACAAGCUCUUGUUUUCAACAAUAGGAAGAGGAAAGAAUAGGCCCAUGACUCGAUCCUGGGCGAGAGAUCAUAACAUUUCCAAAUUAGAUUUAAGAUGAUAUCAGUAUUCUUCUUUUACAGUUUAUUAUUGAGUCUUAUGGUUAUUUGUCAAUUACCUCCAAAUGUGUUGUGGUGUUACUUUUUUUGUUGUCAUCGAGUCUAUGCAUGCAUGUGUGAUUCUAAAGUUGCAUGCUCUAAGCCUCUAACCCAUGUUCUUGUUGUUCUUGAUUUGCUUGUCAUUAAGAAUGGCAAUAGCAUAUUGGAAUUUUAUAGUGGUGUAUAGCAUAAAUUUUCAUGGUUGUGGUACUGGUAAGUGAUGCCGAGUAUGGGAAAUGGCAAUCUCUUGGCAUGUGAUUCUAUUCUUGUGCAUGAUACUUAGUAGCUCGUUUGGAAUGAAUGAAUUCCACAAAUCCAAAUUGUGUUUGAAAGUAAAAAAAAAAUAUGGAUUUCAAUUCUAUGGUUUGAAUUCUGCAUAAUUGAACAUAACUAUCACAAAUUCCAUUAAAAUAAGUGGAAUUUCCAAAUGA
rnacentral:misc_RNA from 1 species